rnacentral:rRNA from 1 species
GACGAACGCUGGCGGCGUGCUUAACACAUGCAAGUCGAACGGCAAGGCACUGCUUUUGUGGGGUGCUCGAGUGGCGAACGGGUGAGUAACACGUGAGUAACCUGCCCUUGACUUUGGGAUAACUUCAGGAAACUGGGGCUACUACAGGAUAGGAGCUCCUGCUGCAUGGUGGGGGUUGGAAAGUUUCGGCGGUUGGGGAUGGACUAGCGGCUUAUCAGCUUGUUGGUGGGGUAGUGGCUUACCAAGGCUUUGACGGGUAGCCGGCCUGAGAGGGUGACCGGCCACAUUGGGACUGAGAGACGGCCCAGACUCCUACGGGAGGCAGCAGUGGGGAAUAUGGCACAAUGGGCGGAAGCCUGAUGCAGCAACGCCGCGUGCGGGAUGACGUCCUUCGGGGUGUAAACCGCUUUCGCCUGUGACGAAGCGUGAGUGACGGUAAUGGGUAAAGAAGCACCGGCUAACUACGUG